UCCGGUUUGACACCGGCAGUCCCGUUAGAGUCCUCAGCAUGACCUGGUAGCAACUAACGGCAGGGGUUUCGCUCGUUAAGGGACUUAACCCGACACUUCACAGCACGAGCUGACGACAGCCAUGCAGCACCUGUGCACGUUCCACUACAAGAGCGUCACUUCCCUUUCAGGAAGCUAAUCCGUGCAUGUCAAGCCUUGGAUAAGGUUCUUCGCGUUGCUUCGAAUUAAGCCACAUGCUCCACCGCUUGUGUGAGCCCCCGUCAAUUCCUUUGAGUUUUAGCCUUGCGACCGUACUCCCCAGGCGGUACACUUAUCGCUUUUGCUUCGGCCGAGAUGGCGUCAAAGCCUCCUCGACCUAGUGUACAUAGUUUACGGCGUGGACUAC
rnacentral:misc_RNA from 1 species